rnacentral:lncRNA from 1 species
AUGCGUUUUCCCGUCCAAUUCAAUAACUUAAGGAAAACUUGAAGAUUAAAAAAGUGCUAUUCACGGUUAAUCUGAAGUGUUGAAAUUCACAAUUUAUUGAAAGAACAACUGAAAAUCAAUUUAGGUUGCAUAUGUGUCAUGUGUGGAGAAGAACCCUCUAGCUAGUCUGUCACCUAUUCUUUCAUCUUAAUUUCAUAUUUUUGUCAAUUCUGUAAUUUAAUUAAGUUUAAUUUACUUUUCAUCAAAACCAAACACCCAUCCAUUAUUAAAUUAUAUUAUUUAGUUAGUUUUCUUUAUUGUUAGUCUUUUAAUUUAAUUUCCGUCCAUUUCAGUUCCUAGUGUUUAAUUUAAUUGUUUUCAUUAUUUUGAGUCAUUUUAAGUGUGUUUCGAAUUAUUAGAGUUUUUAGCCUAGUUUUGUGUCCUUGAGUCUUAUUUAAUAUUUUUUAAAUUAAUUUAGAAUAGAUUAGCAAUCCCUCCUAAUCCCCGGCCUAGAACGAUACCCUACUUACAUCUAUACUACAAUUGUCAAAAAGAGGGUUUAAUUUGUGUGUCAAGUAAUUUUACGCACCAAAUUUUGGCGCUGUUGCCGGGGAUUAGCAACUUUGCUAAUCCUUUUAUUUUUGUUUUUGUUUAUGUUUAUAUUGGUGUUUGUGUAUUUUACUUUUGAUAUUUGAUUUAUUUUUCUUUCUUUGAUUUUAGGUUCAAAUGGAGCCGAGGGAAAUUUAAAGGAAAGAUGCGUCCGGCUAAAGACGUUAAAUCAAGCGCUUCUUGGGAGGCAACCCAAGCAUUCAACGAAGGGAGACUUUGGAAUCGCUAACCCAAUCAGCUUUGCAUUCUUCCAACCUUAUCUUUACUGCUUUCAUUUUGUUUUGUUUAGUUAGUUGUGUUAUUUGGUUGAUUUCUGUGAGUUUGUGUUAUUUAGUUUAAGUGUGGGGGAAGAUUAACCAAAGUCUCUUUACAUUAAUUUACAUUUAAAAAGAAAAAAAAAAAAAGAUAAAAUUUAAAAUUAAUGAUAAAAAAAAAAUACAUAAAAAAAAAAAAAAAAAAAAAUUUUAAAAAAUUAAAAAAAAAAAUUAAAAAAAAAAAAAAAAAAAAAAAAAAAGUACAAAUAUUUUACAAUAAUGUAAACUAAUAGUAUUCAUUGGUCGGGUGGUGCUUCGGUAGUAGGCGGGGCUUCAGCAGUCGGCGGGGCCACAGAAGGAGGAGGCAGCAGAGGUUGAUCAGUUGGAGCUUCACUACGCGGUGCCGCUCCAGAAGACGAAGGCAGAUGCGGUUGGAACAAACCCACAAACCUCCGAUGAUCAAGUAAAAUUUGACCAUCGGUGUCCUGCAUCUGGUCAAUCUUUCUCUUCAUGCUGGUGGCAUAAUUGUGUGCAAGCUUGUGCAAUUGUUUAUUUUCAUGCUUGAGUCCUCUAAUCUCCUCUUUGAGACUCUGUAUUUCAGCCACCAACGAUUCACAUGACGGGUUCGGGCAAAUAGGCGUUGGGCCAUGUUGGACACGGAACCGGCACACUGCACGCUAAGAGCCAGAGACUCCUUAACCGCCAAUUCAUCAGACCGCCUAGCGAGCAGUCUGUUAUCUCUAGGGGUGACAAGGUUCCGGGCCACCACCGCAGCAGUCAUGUCAUUUUUCAUCAUCGAAUCCCCCACGGUAAGGGGACCGGUAGGGGAUAUGAAGGAUGGCCGCCAUAUGUUGUCUGGUGAAGGCGGAGCUGCCUCUUCACCAAUGUUCAAGUCAAAACGACGAUCAGAAGGGCCAGACAUUUUUCAGAGGUGGUGUUGAGAAAGAAGAGAUCGGACAGGUUAAGAUUUCGGAAGUGCAAGAAGGGAGUGUUUACUGGAGGGAUAAGUGUGUUGUGGAGCAAGAUUAACGCCUCUAUAAAAAGGAAGAAAUCAAAGAGGCGCUCCUCAGAAAUCGAUGAAGCGUCCUCUCGCAAAUCGAAGAGGCGGGGCUCCUUUCUCAAAAGCCGGAUUCUUUUCUCAAAAGAGGCGUUUCAUUUCUUAAAGGCUGGGCUUUGCUCAGAAACCACGAGCCGAAACCCCGGAUUUCAAAAGAUCAAUUUGUCCAGACGUGUCGUCACUUGUCACACGCAAAUUGCUUUGCGAAAUUCUCGGGCAGUUUGUCGAAGCACCAAUUCAGAAAUCGAAGAGGGAAAUUCAACAGUCAAAGACACGCUAGCUUUCUCAAAAGCUGGGCUUCAACCCACGGGCAAAUCUUCUUUUCCAGAUUUAUCCGCACGUGUCACAUGCUACCUCUACAAUCGACGAUGCUCAGAGCUCGAAGCGCCGAUUCCAGAUACCAAUGAGGAAUCUGCUUUGCGGAAAUUACGGGCAGCUUUGUCAGAAAGCGCGUAAUUUGUACUAUUCAUCCAUCCACCGGCUGCCGACAAUGAGUGAGAGAAUAGUUCCGGUUGUGAAGACAAGUCCUAUAAGUUUCUACCUUCGCCUUCCACAGCAAAAGCACACUCUCUCAGCACACCCUCUCAACACUUCUUCAUCUCCGAAAAUGCAUUCCCAAAGAAUCCUCCUAAGUUACUCUGUGUUCCUCAUUCCCUGGGAUACCCUGCAAACAACCCAUCCAGGAGCAAAAGUAUUUCAUAUCAUAAUGGUUGAAAGCAAGAGUAUCUCAUAUCAUGCUUUCUCCCUGUCCUUUCUCCAGCCAGCACCUGCUCUCGAGUACUCAUCAUCUUGUGCUUUCGCUUUGUUUCUCACUUAUAAGGGAAGUGAAGAUGAUACCUCGAAGCAUGUGGAGACAACGUGCUGAUUCAUCCUCAACUAAGGACAAGGAGAAAGAGAGCAAGAGGUGGGCACUUGGAAAGAUUGAAGAAAGAAACAGACCAACACCUCUCCCUCGUGCCUGCCCGUUGUGCAGAAGAAACAAGCAGAGAAGAAUGCAGCUUGCACAAUCAUCCCAGCGGAAGGAGUCCGAGCUGAGGAACUAGAGAAGCUGCCACAUCUGCUUGGAGAACAAAUAAGGAACUGCAACAUUCCCAAAGAGCAAAGCCUCGCCGUACAAUAUCAUCAAAUCAUCACUUGCAAGUGAAAAGCUAAGUGUCACCCUGUUCAAGAGGAAAGCUGUGGAAAGUCAACAAGCACGACCAAUGAUUACUUAUUAGUUUUAUUCAUUAUCUUUUAUCGUAAUUUUCAAUUUUUCGUUUGCAAUUUUUUUUUUAAUUAAUUUUCUUGCGUACUUAACUGAAUUUUUCCUUUUCUUUGCAGGAACUUUUGGUUAUUUCCACCCUUGAAGUUGAUUGCAGAAUUUUAGCUUGGGGGUCAUCGCUUGAUUUUACUGCAAAUUAGGGAAGUUUUCAGUCCAAUUGUUUUAUUUUGUUUCUUAUUAUUUAUUUAUUUUAUUUUAUUUUUAUUUGCAUUAUAGUGUUUUCUGACAUUGGGGACAAUGUCAAGUUUAAGUGUGGGGGUAGAAAUCUCUAGAAUUUCAUUUUGUUUCUGUGUUGUUUAGUUUUUGUUUUCUUAAAAAAAAAAAAAAAAAAAAAAAAAAAAUCGGAAAAUUUAAAAAAAAUCCAAAAAUAUUGUCUUGUUUCCCUUAUUGUUUUGAAUUAGAUUUUUGUUAGUUUCCCGACCCAAUGAUAUAAUUGGAUAAAAUUUGAACCAUGAUCAUCAAGAACUUAGUUAACAUGUGUUUUGUGAAAUUCCUAAUUCUCUUGUUAGUUUUGUACAUGUUUGAUCAUCUUUGAAAAACCAAAUGCACAUAGCCUUGUUAAUGUGAAACUAAAGUAUGACUUAAAGCUUCAUAUGUGAAUUUAGUGACCAUAUACAUCCUAUGUGAGUUUUUGAGCCGAUUGAAAGUGUGUGCAUUUUUCAUUCACUCCUAUUCUUUCAUGUGUGAUGAACUUAUGUGAGAUACAUCUCUAGAACUUGCGUAACGAUCUUUCGAAAUGUUUGUCAUUGAUUGCAUGAACUUGGAAAUGAUAGAGGCAUUAGGUUUACCACUAUGGCCCAAAUAACCAUGUUUCCCAAAUAAAAAUGAUAUCAUUAGAUUGCCAAUUUGAGCCGUGUAUGUUGAGCCUUUUAUUUCUUAUCACCAGAUAUGUCUACCCUUAUACCUGAAACAUUUUUUCCUUACCCUUUCCAAGCGAGCAAUGCGAGAUUGUCUUAUGAGAAACGUUUGUGAAGUACUUUGAAGGUGUUUGGCAAAAGAAUAAGUGUGGGGGUAUUUCAUGUUUGUAUUAAAAAAAAAAAAAAAAAAAAAAAAAAAAAAAAAAGAGAAAGAAAAAGAAAAAGAAAGAUUGUAUACGAAAAAAUAAAUAAAUAAAAAUAAAAAUUUUUUUUAAAAGUUUCAGUUUAAGGUUGUGGUUGGAGGUGCUAGAAGAAUCGCUGGAGAGCUUGAGUUCUUAUAAAUCUAAAGAAAAGAAUUGCUUGCAAUGUAGCUUGGAACUUGUGUUUUCCUAUUCUUUCGUUUCAAUAACCCUAUCCCUAAACCUCAUUACAUCCAAUAAAAGUCCUCUUGAUUUAAGUUUUGCAAUUAUGACUGUGGAGAAGUGAUCUUUAUGCAAGCUUUAUGGUAGAAAUUUCACAUUUGAUUUCUUUUGAGCGAAACACAUUAAAACUAAACACAUGUGUGAUUGAGUGCAUAUCCCGUGAGAAGGUCGCUAGUUUGCAUAUGAUGAUUUUAAAAAUAAGAACUUGAAAUUACAUUAGCAUGGCUAUCUCACACACACUACACUUCAAGGAUGAUUCAAAGAUUACUGCUAAUAUUUGAAUAAGGAAGAUGAACUUGGAUUAGUUCCUUGAUGCUAGCUAUGGUUCUUGAUGAUUUGUUUUCUUAAAAUGAAAUUCUAUGAGGGUCACAUAGGGGGAAGCUAAUGUUUUUCUUGUUACUUCGUGUUCUUGUUUUCUUUGUUUUGCUCGAGGACUAGCAAAAGUUAAGUGUGGGGGUAUUUGAUCGGAUCAUAUUUAUAUAUAUUUUUACUUCGAAUUCACUCGUCUUUUCUUAGUUAGUUCCUUAUAUUUUUGAGCUAUUUACGUUAUUUUUGUGUUUAUAGGAUUUGUUAUGCAAAGAAAAUAAAAAUAGAACAAGUGAAAUUUUAUGUAAUAAAUUCGUCAAAAGCAAAUUUAAAUUACAAUAUUGCCAACCCAUUGUGACGCUAAAUGAUAAACCAAUAUUUAAACUAUAUAUUUCAUCCUUUUAUAUUUCUUUUCUUGUCUUGUCUAAUUUAGUUAAAGCUUUAAGUAUUUAUGAUACUUUUAAUUUAUUGUGUUUGGAGGAGAAGAAAGUGGAAAGCACUGAGAAAUUAAAUAGAAGAAGUGGAGAGACAGCGUGAAGCAAUAGAGAAAAGCAGAAAAGCGUGAAAGGGAUCCAAGAGGGAGAGCUGCUUGGCAGCUGGACGCGGAGAAGGAAUCCAAGGAGUCAAAAGCAGAGAACAAGAGGUCAGAAAAGAAUAAAAGAAGGAGAAGUAGAUUGGUGCAAAAGGGGGGUCUGGGAGCGGGAGAAGGGAGCUGCCCUUUGGGCAGCUCGCAGAAGGACGAAGAAAAGAGAAUAGGGGAGAGAUAGGAGGGACGUCAGCGAGACAGUCAGAGGAAGGAACGGGGCGCAAAGGGUCAGGAGGAAAUGUGAGGUACGGGCUGCCCUUGGCAGCUGGGACUGACGCAAGGCAGGAAGGCGCUGCCUUUGGCACUGAGCAAGGGCAGCGUGGGCAGAAGCAGCAUGCACUCUCCUUCUCUUUUCGGUUAAAUCUCUCUAAACUUCUAUUUUGUUUCUAUUUUUAAUAAUGUGUAAUUAAAUUUAUGUUGGCUAGAGGUUAAUUCAAAGCCAUGAUUUAUAUUUGUAAUAUGAAUUGAUUACCUUCGGUUGUGAUUUCAUAAGUUGUGAUUUCAAUUUACUUAUCUGUUCGUAUAAAAACUGAUUUGUGUAUGUUGGUUGAGAGUGCACGCUUAAUUUACAUGCAUGAAUUUGAUGCUAGAAUAUAAGUGAAUUUCACCUAAUCGUUAUGAACUUAUUUUCACAAGUAGUAAAGGUUGCUAGUCACAAUCACGUUAAGUAAAUUCUUGGCAAGAGUAUCAUGCUUUUCAUAGUUACGAAUGCCUCGUCAAUGCUUAUAGUUUUUCACAAAGUUUAAUGAUCUUUGAUUGUAUCUCUAUUGUGCUUUUCACGUAGGGGACUUUUGAAGAAUGUUUUGAAUUGUUGUAUGCGUUUUCCCGUCCAAUUCAAUAACUUAAGGAAAACUUGAAGAUUAAAAAAGUGCUGUUCACGGUUAAUCUGAAGUGUUGAAAUUGAAAUUCACAAUUUAUUGAAAGAACAACUGAAAAUCAAUUUAGGUUGCAUAUGUGUCAUGUGUGGAGAAGAACCCUCUAGCUAGUCCGUCAUUUAUCAUUUUCACCUUAAUUUCAUAUUUUUGUCAAUUCUGUAAUUUAAUUAAGUUUAAUUUACUUUUCAUCAAAACCAAACACCCAUCCAUUAUUAAAU